UAUACGACCGUACCGCAAACCGACACUGGUGCGCGAGAUGAGUAUUCUAAGGCGCUUGAGAGAACUCAGGAGAAGGAACUCGGCAAAUUGACACCGUAACUUCGGAAGAAGGUGUGCCCUAUUAGUGUGUAGUGAACAACGAAGCAUGAAUGGGUUGCAAAAAAUCGGUGGCUGCGACUGUUUAUUAAAAACACAGCACUCUGCAAACACGAAAGUGGACGUAUAGGGUGUGACGCCUGCCCGGUGCUGGAAGAUUAAAUGAUGGGGUGCAAGCUCUUGAUUGAAGUCCCAGUAAACGGCGGCCGUAACAAUAACGGUCCUAAGGUAGCGAAAUUCCUUGUCGGGUAAGUUCCGACCUGCACGAAUGGCGUAACGAUGGCCACACUGUCUCCUCCUGAGACUCAGCGAAGUUGAAAUGUUUGUGAUGAUGCAAUCUCCCCGCGGAAAGACGGAAAGACCCCAUGAACCUUUACUGUAGCUUUGUAUUGGACUUUGAACAGAUCUGUGUAGGAUAGGUGGGAGGCUUUGAAGCAGGGUCGCUAGAUCUUGUGGAGCCAACGUUGAAAUACCACCCUGGUGUGUUUGAGGUUCUAACCUAGGUCCAUUAUCUGGAUCGGGGACAGUGCAUGGUAGGCAGUUUGACUGGGGCGGUCUCCUCCCAAAGCGUAACGGAGGAGUUCGAAGGUACGCUAGUUACGGUCGGACAUCGUGACGAUAGUGCAAUGGCAUAAGCGUGCUUAACUGCGAGACUGACAAGUCGAGCAGAUGCGAAAGCAGGACAUAGUGAUCCGGUGGUUCUGUAUGGAAGAGCCAUCGCUCAACGGAUAAAAGGUACUCUGGGGAUAACAGGCUGAUACCGCCCAAGAGUUCAUAUCGACGGCGGUGUUUGGCACCUCGAUGUCGGCUCAUCUCAUCCUGGGGCUGUAGCCGGUCCCAAGGGUAUGGCUGUUCGCCAUUUAAAGAGGUACGUGAGCUGGGUUUAAAACGUCGUGAGACAGUUUGGUCCCUAUCUUCCGUGGGCGCUGCAGAUUUGAGGAAGCCUGCUCCUAGUACGAGAGGACCGGAGUGGACACACCUCUGGUGUAUCGGUUGUCACGCCAGUGGCAUUGCCGAGUAGCUAAGUGUGGAAGAGAUAACCGCUGAAAGCAUCUAAGCGGGAAACUCGUUUCAAGAUGAGAUCUGCCGGGGCCUUGAGCCCCCUAAAGAGUCGUUCAAGACCAGGACGUUGAUAGGUCAGGUGUGGAAGCGAAAAAAAUAAAAAAAA
rnacentral:rRNA from 1 species